UACGAAGGGGGCUAGCGUUGUUCGGAAUUACUGGGCGUAAAGCGUGCGCAGGCGGCUUCUCAAGUCAGGGGUGAAAGCCCAGAGCUCAACUCUGGAAUUGCCUUUGAGACUGAGUGGCUUGAGUACGGGAGAGGUGAGUGGAAUUCCCAGUGUAGAGGUGAAAUUCGUAGAUAUUGGGAAGAACACCGGUGGCGAAGGCGGCUCACUGGCCCGUAACUGACGCUCAUGCACGAAAGCGUGGGGAUCAAACAGG
rnacentral:rRNA from 1 species